GACGAACGCUGGCGGCGUGCUUAACACAUGCAAGUCGAACGGAAAGGCCCUGCUUUUGUGGGGUGCUCGAGUGGCGAACGGGUGAGUAACACGUGAGUAACCUGCCCUUGACUUUGGGAUAACUUCAGGAAACUGGGGCUAAUACCGGAUAGGAGCUCCUGCUGCAUGGUGGGGUUUGGAAGGUUUCGGCGGUUGGGGAUGGACUCGCGGCUUAUCAGCUUGUUGGUGGGGUAGUGGCUUACCAAGGCUUUGACGGGUAGCCGGCCUGAGAGGGGGACCGGCGACAUUGGGACUGAGAUAAGGCCCAGACUCCUAGGGGAGGCAGAAGUGGGGAAUAGUGCACAAUGGGCGGAAGCCUGAGGCAGCAACGACGCGUGCGGGAUGACGGCCUUCGGGUUGUAAACCGCUUUCGCCUGUGACGAAGCGUGAGUGACGGUAAUGGGUAAAGAAGCACCGGCUAACUACGUG
rnacentral:rRNA from 1 species